rnacentral:tRNA from 1 species
CCCUGUGGCUUAGAUGGCAAAGCAUCUGCCUACAAUGCAGGAGACCUGGGUUUGAUCCCUGUGUUGGGA